GACGAACCGUGCGAACGUUGUUCGGAUUCACUGGGCUUAAAGGGCGCGUAGGCGGGCGUUCAUGUCCGGGGUGAAAGCCCACGGCUCAACCGUGGAAGUGCCUCGGAAACGGGACGCCUCGAGGGGGGUAGGGGCCUGCGGAACUUCCGGUGGAGCGGUGAAAUGCGUAGAUAUCGGAAGGAACGCCGGUGGCGAAAGCGGCGGGCUGGACCCCUUCUGACGCAGAGGCGCGAAAGCCAGGAGAGCAAACGGG
rnacentral:rRNA from 1 species